rnacentral:rRNA from 1 species
AUGGGAACGCGAAGAACCUUACCUAGACUUGACAUCUUCUGCAUUAAUCGUAAUGGAUGAAAUCCCUUCGGGGACAGAAUGACAGGUGGUGCAUGGUUGUCGUCAGCUCGUGUCGUGAGAUGUUGGGUUAAGUCCCGCAACGAGCGCAACCCCUAUUAUUAGUUGCUAACAUUAAGUUGAGCACUCUAGUGAGACUGCCCGGGUUAACCGGGAGGAAGGUGGGGAUGACAUCAAAUCAUCAUGCCCCUUAUGUCUAGGGCUACACACGUGCUACAAUGGUGGGAACAAAGAGAUGCAAUACCGCAAGGUGGAGCUAAACUCAAAACCCCAUCCCAGUUCGGAUUGUAGGCUGAAACUCGCCUACAUGAAGCUGGAGUUGCUAGUAAUCGCGAAUCAGAAUGUCGCGGUGAAUACGUUCCCGGGUCUUGUACACACCG